rnacentral:rRNA from 1 species
ACCGGCGCACGGGUGCGUAACGCGUAUGCAAUCUACCUACAGCAGAGGGAUAGCCCGUGGAAACAUGGAUUAAUACCUCAUAAUACAGGGGGCCCACCUGGGCAUAUUGUUAAAGAUUUAUCGGCUGUAGAUGAGCAUGCGUCCCAUUAGCUAGUUGGUACGGUAACGGCGUACCAAGGCGAUGAUGGGUAGGGGUUCUGAGAGGAUGAUCCCCCACACUGGUACUGAGAUACGGACCAGACUCCUACGGGAGGCAGCAGUAGGGAAUAUUGGUCAAUGGACGGAAGUCUGAACCAGCCAUGCCGCGUGCAGGAAGACGGCCUUCUGGGUUGUAAACUGCUUUUAUCAGGGAAGAAAAUACUCUUGCGAGAGGGAUUGCCGGUACCUGAAGAAUAAGCACCGGCUAACUCCGUGCCAGCAGCCGCGGUAAUACGGAGGGUGCAAGCGU